AGCCUACGGGAGGCAGCAGUAGGGAAUCUUCCACAAUGGACGAAAGUCUGAUGGAGCAACGCCGCGUGAGUGAAGAAGGGUUUCGGCUCGUAAAGCUCCGUUGGUAGUGAAGAAAGAUAGAGGGAGUAACUGGCCUUUAUUAGACGGUAAUUACUUAGAAAGUCACGGCUAACUACGUGCCAGCAGCCGCGGUAAUACGUAGGUGGCAAGCGUUUUCCGGAUUUAUUGGGCGUAAAGCGGGUGCAGGCGGUUCAAUA
rnacentral:rRNA from 1 species